UUAAAAAAGUUUCUUGACCAGUUGCCUACAGCUGAUGAGCUCCAGUAAGAGCGAAACCAGUUCUCACCUACAGAAACAAGUUUAAAGUGUGAAUUGGUCCUGUAGUACUGUGUCAGAAACAGGAA
ensembl:ribozyme